UUCUUCAGAACUCUCUCUCACAUCACACCCUUCACCAUCACUCUCUCACGACCAUCACUCAUCGGCAAUUCGGCGUGUAGCAGCGAAAUCAACUUAAGGAUUCACAAACAUCGUCUUGGUGGGUGGGUGUAGCGAAAUCGACUAAAAAACCUAUAAAUUAAUUUUCAGGCAACGAACUGAAUCAACCAUAUGAUGAAUACCGAAGCAAGAGCACCCAAAACAAUGAUUUAUGACAACUCAUUUCACCAAGGCAAACCAUUUCGUUUAUUUAUUCGUGACUGUCAUUUUCAUGAGAUACUUAGCGUGAACACAUCAAACACUGUAAAAGAUGUGAAGAAGAUGAUUGCGGAUGUUGUUGGAGUGCCUCCUAGUCAACAAUUGGUGGUUGAAAAUCUAGAUCACCCACCACAGGAUGAUGAAGAGAUCUUGGGUGCUCAUAGCAUCCAGAAGUUGGGCUUAGUUUGGCUCUUAAGCUUGUCGAUGAAGCUCUAGAUAAAUGUCCCCUAGGCAGGUACUUGUACGUAACUCAAUAUCUACAGCUCAUUCUCAGUUUCCAGCAUCAAGGACAUGAUCCACGACAAUAUGGUUGUCCCAUCCAAUAGACAAACUCUAGUCUAUUCUGGAAUAUCACUCGAUGAUAAGGCCUUGUCAUUCUAUGACAUUCCUAGGAAUUCCACCCUUUACACAAUCUUUGGGGCAGACAAUGGAACGUCUAAUUUGCUGAUAUUUGUUGAUGCUGGUAAAAAUGAAGCUCUUGCACUCAAAAUGAAACCCUGGUUUAUAAUUCUUGACGUGAAGUCUAUGAUUGAGAGCUGUUGUGGAAUUCCGAUUCAAAGUCAAGAGCUUGUUUACUUAAAGGAGAAGCUUGAGGACUAGAAAACUGUUGAAGGCUAUAAUAUGAACGAUGGGUCCUUCAUUUCUUUGAACAUUUCUGGCUCGUUGAUUAGGUUACAUAUCAAGGUAAAGAGCCGAAACAUGACCCAAAAUGUCAUAUCAUAUCAAGCAAAGAGUUUUGACACUGUCAAUGAAUUUUUAGCCAAGAUUCCUCAAGGGGUGUUAGCGAGCAUCGUUGUGGAACCAACUCUGUUUCUGGAGGAGACUAGGCUUAUGGGUGAUAAGGCUUUAGCCAAUUAUGAUCUCUAUUCAGGAUCUUUUCUCACACUGAAACGUGUUAUCCAAAUUCACGUGGCAAUUCCAUGCAAGCAAACAGUUAAGGUGAACCUGAAGGCAUAGGAUCCCAUCUAUCGGAUGAAUGAGAAGAUUGAAGAGACGUGUGGCAUCCCCGAUGAACUGCAACAACUGACUUAUCAUGGAGAUGCGGUGGAUGACAUGUUGAGGGUUGAGCAGUGUGAAAAAUUGUUUGGGAGCCUUUGGGUUCUCAGGUGGAACUGGGUUGGUAGGACUUGGUUUUUCUUCUGGCCAUCCUAUAUGCAUGUGUAGAGGGAAGGUAACAAAGUCUCUUUGACUUUAAGUAACUUUAAGUAAUUUCUAGUUUCAGUAUGUAAUCAAAACAUAAAAUAGGUCUACUCUUUUUGUUUUGGAAAUGGUGUAAAUAUGUUAUGUGUUAA